rnacentral:rRNA from 1 species
GAGUAAUGUAUGGGGAUCUGCCCGAUAGAGGGGGAUAACUACUGGAAACGGUGGCUAAUACCGCAUAAUGUCUACGGACCAAAGCAGGGGCUCUUCGGACCUUGCACUAUCGGAUGAACCCAUAUGGGAUUAGCUAGUAGGUGGGGUAAAGGCUCACCUAGGCGACGAUCUCUAGCUGGUCUGAGAGGAUGAUCAGCCACACUGGGACUGAGACACGGCCCAGACUCCUACGGGAGGCAGCAUG